rnacentral:tRNA from 1 species
UGUUCUGUGGAUUAGUUGGUAAAAAUGCCGGUCUAGCAAAUAAGGAGUCGUGGGUUCGAAUCCCACCGGAACAC